UACAAGGCAGCAGGAUUGGAGUGAGU
rnacentral:piRNA from 1 species